CCUACGGGCGGCAGCAGUGAGGAAUAUUGGUCAAUGGACGAGAGUCUGAACCAGACAAGUAGCGUGAAGGAUGACUGCCCUAUGGGUGGUAAACUUCUUUUAUAAAGGAAUAAAACGAGGCACGUGUGCCUUUUUGCAUGUAAUUUAUGAAUAAGGAUCGGCUAACUCCGUGCCAGUAGCCGCGGUAAUACGGAGGAUCCGAGCGUUAUCCGGAUUUAUUGGGUUUAAAGGGAGCGUAGAUGGGUUGUUAAGUCAGUUGUGAAAGUUUGCGGCUCAACCGUAAAAUUGCAAUUGAUACUGGCAGUCUUGAGUACAGUUGAGGUAGGCGGAAUUCGUGGUGUAGCGGUGAAAUGCUUAGAUAUCACGAAGAACCCCGGUUGCGAAGGCAGCUUACUAAACUGUGACUGACAUUGAUGCUCGAAAGUGUGGGUAUCAAACAGGAUUAGAUACCCGAGUAGUC
rnacentral:rRNA from 1 species